UGUUAAAUAGAUUUUUCCUGGUUUUGCUCAAUGCUAUUACAAAGUGAAACAAAUUUGUACAAACUUCUUAGACAUAUUAUGGGCAAAAUUGAAUUUGAAAGAAGUUUUUUAUCACGCUUUGAAAUUUAUUUAAAGGAGAACCUUGACUCGAUUCUCGUUUAAUACCAGCAUGUAUUUCAUAUUUGCUUUUCCCGUUUCCAGGAUGUAAAUAAUAUGCUGCAUUGGCCGAUUAGAUCCAUCCACGACAAAAGGAAUGUCACAUAAAUUUCAGGUGGAAGGUGGAACAAAGAAAUUGUUUAAUGUAAAUAAAAUAUACCCAAUAUCA